rnacentral:rRNA from 1 species
GAUGAACGCUGGCGGCGUGCCUAAUACAUGCAAGUCGAGCGAACAGACGAGGAGCUUGCUCCUCUGACGUUAGCGGCGGACGGGUGAGUAACACGUGGAUAACCUACCUAUAAGACUGGGAUAACUUCGGGAAACCGGAGCUAAUACCGGAUAAUAUAUUGAACCGCAUGGUUCAAUAGUGAAAGACGGUUUUGCUGUCACUUAUAGAUGGAUCCGCGCCGCAUUAGCUAGUUGGUAAGGUAACGGCUUACCAAGGCAAGGAUGCGUAGCCGACCUGAGAGGGUGAUCGGCCACACUGGAACUGAGACCCGGUCCAGACUCCUACGGGAGGCAGCAGUAGGGAAUCUUCCGCAAUGGGCGAAAGCUUGACGGAGCAACGCCGCGUGAGUGAUGAAGGUCUUCGGAUCGUAAAACUUUGUUAUUAGGGAAGAACAAAUGUGUAAGUAACUAUGCACGUCUUGACGGUACCUAAUCAGAAAGCCACGGCUAACUACGUG